UCAGUGCUAGGAUAUGUAGGCACCAUCAUCGCCAAUGAACUCUAGACCUGCUUUAGGUUUGUCUUGUGAAUUCCAUACGAUUUAACAGCCACGAUGAAGAUAAGUGAGAAUGUCUUUUAUCAAGUAAAUCUCUGUCAGUGCUUGGAAUCCAGUUUUGAAAUGUAAAUCUGCCAUAUACUUCUCUUGCCAAAGUAUGAUUUUUUUUAAGUCAAUAAAGUAUCUUUGUGAAUAACUGCCCAGAUGUAGCAUAAUGAUGUCACUUUAUUUUUCAUGCAGACUAUUGUUUUUUAAGAUAGUGUUUUCAGGAAAAAUAGUCCUUUUUUAAAAAAAAAUCAUAUUUUGGGUAAAGUAGAGAUUUGUAACAAAGCUGCGUGUGGUGGUUCUUGCUUUUAAUCCCAGUAUUUGGAACACAGAGGCAGUCAGCUCUUUCUGAGUUCCUGAAUAUCCGGAGUUGUUACACAGAGAAACCCUGUCUCCAAAACCAAAACACCAAAAAAACCAAAAACCAUCAACAAACAAACAAAACAAAAAAAAUGAAAGAAAGAAAAAAAAAGAAAGAGAAAUUUAUAACAGAUAUGCAUAAUGUCUCUGCAGAUUUUUGUCUUUUUCACUCCGUUACUAUUUUAGGCAAACAAUGUGCACUAUUUUUAAAUUUCUAAGUCCAUGGCGUUGGUUGAAAAUAUCUCCACGGAAAAGUGAGCUAGUGAGGUGGCCCAGCAGGUAAAGGGGAAAGAUGCUUGCUGCCAAGCUUGAUGACCCGAGUUCGAUCCCCAGGACCUACGUGGUGGAUCAGAAAACUGAAAGUUGCCCCGUUGCCUCCACACAUGGGCUGUGGUGUGUGCACGUUCACAUACACAGGUACACCAGGAAGUAAAUGAACAGGGAAACAGGGAGAUGCUGGGGACUUUUAUCCCGUGAGGAGCUAGAGCAGUCUGGGGUUACUGUUCAUCAGUGGAGAAACCCUUCUGUAGGUCAGUGUGGAGAAGGCUUACAGCUGAGAUGAACAGGUUCAGCAUCAGCCUUGCAUCUGUUAGCCCUCCUCUCCGCCCACUAAGUAGUAAUCCCUUGAAGGUUUUUCUUAGAAGAGGGAGAGCGACCGUGGGUACCACUUGGUAAAAUGUGAUCUUCAUGGCUUGUGGAUAAAAAAAGAGAAGUCUAAAAAAGACUUAAUGGCAUUUAUUCUAUUUAUAGUUAAUUUCUAAUUUUACAGAACUAAACUUUUGUGACCUCCAUAUCCUUUUCCGGUGGAUAGUGAUGAAACUUGUAGUUGUCAGGUUUGUAAGGGAUGUCUGUCCAGAACAACUAACUAUAUUUAGCAUCUUCUUUACUUGAUAUAGGAUUCCAGGAAAAAUGAGACAUGAGUGUGAUUAGAGUACAUUUGUAUGGAGUUGCCAAAUAAUUAAUAAAAAUAUUUUGUUGGAG
rnacentral:lncRNA from 1 species